GGUGAUUCCGGGCCAGCGAGUCUCCAAGGAACAGUAGCUUCUUACCUCUCACUAAACUCAAGUAGAGGCUGGGAUCGAAAUGUGGCAGCUCGCAACUAUCCGGUUUCCAUCGCCACUUAAGGUACUCGUUAUCUGGUCUUCCAUUCUUCUCGCAAUUUUGAGCUGGUUGGAUGAACUCGCAGGUCCCGUUUGUGUACAGAGGACGUCCUGUUGGAUCUCGUAUCCACUUCCCAUGGGAGAGAUCACACUCUGUUUGUGAGCAUUAAAUUUUCGCUUUUGUCCAUUGCUGUUUGUCUUCUUACCUUCAUGUUUGGUUGUAGGAUCCCAAAGUAGGCUCUUGUAGGUGAUGAACCACGCUGGACAAAUGAAAACGAUUAGUCCUGUGAACCUGGAAAGUAGAGUUGGAACCGAUCUUUUGGCUCUCAUUCGCUUGUGUGG
rnacentral:lncRNA from 1 species